rnacentral:lncRNA from 1 species
GUGCUGUGCCAGGGAAUCUGCCCACCAGGAGCUUCCCUGUUUCCUGGAUUCUGGGCGUGGCCUCCCUGCUAAUGGCGGGCAGAGGCCUUCCCUGCUGGUGGGUGCAGGACCCUGGGGAUUCCCCCUGGGCUUAGGUGUAAUCACGGGGGGCUUGGGUAGGGCUGUUGUCACCUGUUUCCACCGUCGCUCCGCUGGUGAGUGCACACUCCCACCCUUGGUGUGUGGCAAUGCUAGGGGGGAGUCCGCUGGAAGAGAGCCUCCUGCAGGAACUAGGCUGUCUGGGGGUCAGGGGUUGGAGAGUUUUCACCUAUUUCCACCUCCCUCCCAGGGGGAAGUCCGUCCGCCUUCCGAUGUGUAGUAGCAUGGGACUCUUAGGCGUCUUGAGAUGCUAUCUGGAUAUCCUUUGUUAAUCAAUGAAUGUCCAAUUAGUUGUGGAUUUGACGGGGGAGAGACAAAGAAGACCACUCACUCUGCCAUCUUGCACAUGCUAGUUUCUUUUAUCAGCUGUUUGGGAUCAAGCCCUUAGUGUUACCGAAAGUUCAGUCUCUGAUCCUGAUGCCAAUCCAGAUAACAAGAAUGGAGUCUUGGGAGGAAAAGGAAAGCUUUUCUUUGCCAGGCAGAGGGAGCAAAGCAAGGGCCAGUGCCCCCAAAUGCUUGCUCCCCAUUGAGAAACGGGUAGGGGUUUUUAUUUAGGGUUUUAGGUAGGGGAGGGGGGCUGUGGAUUUCUUGGUCAGCAUUUUCCCAUCGGCCUGUGUCUUGGGCUGCUUCCAGGGGAGACAAAGGAUUUCUCAGAUGAGUGUCCUUGGCUGCUUAUCUCCAUGGUGGAAGGUAGACUCUGACAUCAGGAAGCUGAGGAGCCAUACAGCAUGGUCUGGGGGAGAGAGAGGGUGUGCAGGGCUGCAGUUCAGCUUUUAUUGGAGUUGAGGGUAGAAUUCCUCAGGUUUUGCAGGUUCACUCUUUUUUGGUAAAUUAAAACAUAAGACUAGGAGGGGAAAACAAGCAAUCAAAUGGUCAGGUACUAAGUCAACCAGAGAUCAUCUCUAAAACAAGGGAAACCU